rnacentral:lncRNA from 1 species
GAAAAUAAGCCAAAAUUGGCCAUCAUCUUCUCCAUUCAGCUGAAACUUGCAUGGACACCAUGGCUAGGGUUUGGUUCAAGCUUCCAAGCUCAUUUGUAAGUGAUCUCGAGCCUUGUUUUUAAUGUUCUUUACAUUUUUAAAGUCCCGGUAACUCGAUCUAUCUAUUUCUACCAUUAUUUUGAGCUAGGGUUCAUGUUUAAAAAUUUUCCCAUGAAUGAUAUGCAUGUGUUUUGAUUUCUAAUGGUAGAAACUGAAAGUUGGGUGUUAAAUAAACAACUUUUGCUAAAUGAUUUUCGGUGAAAAUGCUUAAAAGGAC